UACGUAGGGGGGCAAGCGUUGUCCGGAUUUAUUGGGCGUAAAGAGCGUGUAGGCGCCAGACAGGUCCGUUGUGAAAACUCGAGGCUCAACCUCGAGAUGUCGAUGGAAACCGUCUGGCUAGAGUCCGGAAGAGGAGAGUGGAAUUCCUGGUGUAGCGGUGAAAUGCGCAGAUAUCAGGAAGAACACCAAUGGCGAAAGCAGCUCUCUGGGACGGUACUGACGCUGAGACGCGAAAGCGUGGGGAGCGAACAGG
rnacentral:rRNA from 1 species